rnacentral:lncRNA from 1 species
GCGCGAGAGCGGCCUGAGGUGCUCCAACAGGGCCCCCGAGCAGGACUGGAGGCAGUCAGAGAAGGACCAGUGGGAGCAGCUGGCAGAAAGCAGGCGGCAGAGGGCCGAGCUGGCCAACCAUCUUCGGGCAGUGCUGGAGGCCCUUUCGGAGCAAGCCCUUGUGCUGCAGAGGCGAGAGCAUGAGCUGGGACUCAGCUGGUCCUGAAGCAGAAACAUGCCACAGCAGUUCUGCUGGCCUCCACCCUGAAACCGGUCAGCAGCUGGAGAGCAGCUGGAGAGGCAGUGUAUCUCGGGCCCAGCUGGAGGCAGAGGAUGCACAGCUGGAGCCUGUCGUGAUAGAUAACAGCCGAAAGCAGCCCCUCAGGGCCCCAGGGCACGGGUCCAUGCUGGGCUGUCAGCUGGGCUGUUGGCUGCCAGUCCGCCUGUGUUAUCAGAGGCUGCAGACACUGCCCUGCCUGGUGGGAGGCAGGGAAGCUACGCCUACCUAUCCGAGGCUCUGUGCUGCCUUUGACCCUCCCACUCAGCCUCCUCCCAGCAGGUGGAGUGCUCCCUGGCCUGCCUGGAGCAGGAGAGGCACCAAAGGCAGGGAUCCCAGGGACAGGCUGAGUGGAGGAGGCCAGACCAGGACAUAG